rnacentral:rRNA from 1 species
UACGGAAGGCAGCAGUGGGGAAUAUUGCACAAUGGGCGAAAGCCUGAUGCAGCUAUGCCGCGUGUAUGAAGAAGGCCUUAGGGUUGUAAAGUACUUUCAUCGGGGAGGAAAAACAAAACUAAUAAUUUUAUUUCUUGACGUUACCCGAAAAAGAAGCACCGGCUAACUCCGUGCCAGCAGCCGCGGUAAUACGGAGGGUGCUAGCGUUAAUCAGAAUUACUGGGCGUAAAGAGCACGUAGGUGGUUUUUUAAGUCAGAUGUGAAAUCCCUGGGCUUAACCUAGGAACUGCAUUUUGAAACUGAAAUACUAGAGUAUCGUAGAGGGAGGUAGAAUUCUAGGUGUAGCGGUGAAAUGCGUAGAUAUCUGGAGGAAUACCUGUGGCGAAAGCGGCCUCCUAAACGAAUACUGACACUGAGGUGCGAAAAGCGUGGGGAGCAAAACAGGGAUUAGAUACC